AAAACAAUAAAAAUAAGUAAAAAGGGAAAAAUAAAACUCACAUUUGAAAGAGCUAAACUUGCUCUAGUAUAGAAGGCGUACAGCGGUUUGAUCCCCGCUUAUGGGAUAUAGGGUAGACUUCCUCCGUCAGUGGUGUAUCCAACACUCGGGUAGAAAGAAACAGCCAAUAGUGUACACUGAGUAAAAUAUUGGUAAUAAAAUAAAUAAAAUAGAAUGGGUACUCACAAGACGGGAGCAGAACAACUGCUCAUUGACGUAGCGCUGGUGGUAUAAUCCCCACCUAGGAUUUCUUGGAGUCCGGGAUGUUGAAAGGAUGCCAGGUAGUAAAUGAGUUAGAGUGUAUAAAAGGAUAAGUGGCACAGAUAAAAAGUAACCAAAUAUACUUUAAUAUAUAUAAA